UGCCCUGUGGUGUAAUUGGCAACAUCCCGCACUUUGAAUGCGAAGAGUCCAGGUUCGAUCCCUGGCAGGGCAACCA
rnacentral:tRNA from 1 species